CAGAAAUAAAGUGGAGAAACGAAUGAAGGAAACUGAACAGGAGGGAUUGAUGAAACAGAUGAACUCAACAGACACCCACUCAGAACACUUAGCCUCUUGCAUCAGAAGCAGAAAGAAAUGCAGUCUCCAUUCGUGGUCCUUAGUGGCGGUAAACAACCAUGAGGCAACCAUCUCAGAAACAAGACUGCAAAUUCUUCAUGAAAUAUGCUGGCACCAACUCUGAACUUUGGCGUGGACUUAUGUUUUUAUUGUUCCUUACUGUCUUUAUUGUUCCUUACUGUCUGGAAUAUCAUCUCUAUUUUUAAAUAAGACACAGCUUGCAGCUGCCGACAGUGCAUAAGUGUACUGGAAGGAAGGCCACAGAGUUUAUGUCACAUUAAAAUGAGUACAGUGGUUCUCCUGCUGGUACCUGGAAGCUGAAAAGUACAAUUUCUAGUGAUUAGUUGCUUGCUUAUAGGACUUGAGCCAGAUGAACAGCCUCUAAGCUAAAUCAGACAUUAAUCAGUAAUUACAUUUGGCCAUUCUUGAUUGCAAUAGCAAUAUUGUAUCCUUCCAAGGGAAGAAAGAAACCCUUGUUCAGUUGUAGGCCAGUAUGAAAAGCUGUAAAAUUAUACAAGCAACAGAAUCAGAAGAUGUACAGUCUACUGCAAAUCAUUGUAAAGCACCACUGAUAUAUCACAGAAACAUUUGUAAUGGGUUAUAAAAGUAACUUGGUUCAUCCUGGUCUGUCACACUAGUAAUGUAUAUAAGGUUUUUAACCACUGUCCAGUGUGAUUGAUAAAAAUUGUGUUUAAUUUUGCAUCCUUUAUAUGUUUCAGUCAAAACGACCAUCUUCAGAAGGAUAUUAUUAGCACGUAUGGAAACUACUGUUACGUGUCAUACAUAUACAU